UCCAUUAUCUCUGCUGAUAUGUUUCAGUACUGGUUUUUCUGUCUGCUUUCGUUGGGCGAGUGUCUACAAUCAAAAGAUGGAUGCAGAUGGUGUACCCCCAGCAAUGAAGACAUUUAUUGCUGUUGCCAUUGUGUGAGAGGCAUGCAGGUUAUAGGUAGAAACAUCAUGGCCACCCGCAUGCGCAAAAGAAGUGCCUAACGACUGACGCAUGCGCAUAUAC